ensembl:lncRNA
UGUCACCAUGGAUACCACCUGAUGUCGCCAUGGAUACCACCUGAUGUCACCAUGGAUACCACCAGAUGUCGCCAUGGAUACCACCUGAUGUCACCAUGGAUACCACCAGAUGUCGCCAUGGAUACCACCUGAUGUCGCCAUGGAUACCACCAGAUGUCGCCAUGGAUACCACCUGAUGUCGCCAUGGAUACCACCAGAUGUCGCCAUGGAUACCACCUGAUGUCGCCAUGGAUACCACCAGAUGUCGCCAUGGAUACCACCUGAUGUCGCCAUGGAUACCACCAGAUGUCGCCAUGGAUACCACCUGAUGUCGCCAUGGAUACCACCAGAUGUCGCCAUGGAAACCACUCACUGGCCAUGCCAGCCAAUCAACCGCGAGGAAUCUAGACGGUGACCUCAGAGCCAGGUCGUCCAACUGAGCCUUUUUUGCUGGAGGGUGUGAGUGAGAGUUAAAGGAGUAAGAAGAGUGUGUGUGUGAGAGUUAAAGGAGUAAGAAGAGUGUGUGUGUGUGUGUGAGAGUUAAAGGAGUAAGAAGAGUAAGAGUGUGUGUGUGUGAGAGUUAAAGGAGUAAGAAGAGUGUGUGUGUGAGAGUUAAAGGAGUAAGAAGAGUGUGUGUGUGUGUGAGAGUUAAAGGAGUAAGAAGAGUGUGUGUGUGUGUGUGUGUGUGUGAGAGUUAAAGGAGUAAGAAGAGUGUGUGUGUGUGUGUGUGUGUGUGAGAGUUAAAGGAGUAAGAAGAGUGUGUGUGUGUGUGUGUGUGUGUGAGAGUUAAAGGAGUAAGAAGAGUGUGUGUGUGAGAGUUAAAGGAGUAAGAAGAGUGUGUGUGUGUGUGUGAGUUAAAGGAGUAAGAAGAGUGUGUGUGUGUGUGUGUGAGAGUUAAAGGAGUAAGAAGAGUGUGUGUGUGUGUGUGAGUUAAAGGAGUAAGAAGAGUGUGUGUGUGUGUGUGUGAGAGUUAAAGGAGUAAGAAGAGUGUGUGUGUGAGAGUUAAAGGAGUAAGAAGAGUGUGUGUGUGUGUGAGUUAAAGGAGUAAGAAGAGUGUGUGUGUGUGUGAGAGUUAAAGGAGUAAGAAGAGUGUGUGUGUGUGAGAGUUAAAGGAGUAAGAAGAGUGUGUGUGUGUGAGAGUUAAAGGAGUAAGAAGAGUGUGUGUGUGUGUGUGAGUUAAAGGAGUAAGAAGAGUGUGUGUGUGUGUGAGAGUUAAAGGAGUAAGAAGAGUGUGUGUGUGUGAGAGUUAAAGGAGUAAGAAGAGUGUGUGUGUGUGAGAGUUAAAGGAGUAAGAAGAGUGUGUGUGUGUGUGAGAGUUAAAGGAGUAAGAAGAGUGUGUGUGUGAGAGUUAAAGGAGUAAGAAGAGUGUGUGUGUGUGUGAGUUAAAGGAGUAAGAAGAGUGUGUGUGUGUGAGAGUUAAAGGAGUAAGAAGAGUGUGUGUGUGUGAGAGUUAAAGGAGUAAGAAGUGUGUGUGUGUGUGAGAGUUAAAGGAGUAAGAAGAGUGUGUGUGUGUGUGUGUGAGAGUUAAAGGAGUAAGAAGAAAGAGUGUGUGUGUGUGUGUGAGAGUAGCAGAGAUCUUUAUGUGUCAGUCGAUGUGUAACUAAGAGCAGGAAGGAUGACCAUGUGUACGUGUGUGUAUGUGUGUAUAUGUGUGUAUAUGUGUGUAGGAUGUGUGUGUGUGUAUGUGUGUGUGUAUAUAUGUGUAGGAUGUGUAGGAUGUGUGUGUGUGUAUGUGUGUGUGUAUAUGUGUGUAGGAUGUGUAGGAUGUGUGUGUGUGUAUGUGUGUAUGUGUGUGUGUAUAUGUGUGUAGGAUGUGUAGGAUGUGUGUAUGUGUGUGUGUAUAUGUGUGUAGGAUCAGUGGGGAUGUGUGUAUAUAUGUGUGUUUGUGUGUAGGAUCAGUGGGGAUGUGUGUGUAUAUGUGUGUAGGAUGUGUUGGAUGUGUAGGAUGUGUGUGUGUAUAUGUGUAGGAUCAGUGGGGAUGUGUGUGUGUAGGAUGUAUAGGAUGUGUGUGAUAUAGGUGUGUAAACAUGAAGUGUGUGUGAUAUAGAUGUGUAAACAUGAAGUGUGUGUGUGUGUGCAAACAUGAAGUGUGUGUGAUGCCUUCUCUCACACCCCUGAGCCCUGUGAAGAUAUACGCAGACCUCCUCAGUCCUGUGAACUCAACCAAACUGAUCCAGCUGUACUGUGCCCACCCCGCCGAUGGCAGCCGGAACUGGCCCGGAACUGGCCCGGAAGCUGGCCCACAUCUGCCAUAUAGCCCUCAACUCAACACUGCCUCACGGAGUCUGCGCACAGAGAAGGAGUUUAACGAGUUUAACGAGUUUAAAGAUUAGACUUUUGUACUGUUGGACAACAAUAUGCAGUCAGAACUGUGAUUCAUGACCUGUGAUGACAACAACAUACACACCCGACACUUUGUCCCUUUUUGGAAAUGAAUCGUUGAUGUUUGAAUAUUAGGUGUAUAAAAAAUAUAUUCUUA